GACGAACGCUGGCGGCGUGCUUAACACAUGCAAGUCGAACGAAGUGGCGGACGGGUGAGUAACGCGUAAUCAACCUGCCCUUCAGGGGGGGACACCAGUUGGAAACGACUGCUAAUACCGCAUACUGAAGGAGGGGUUUGCGUCUGAUUAGCUAGUUGGGGGGGUAACGGCCCACCAGGGCGACGAUCCGUAGCGGGUCUGAGAGGAUGAUCAGUCACACUGGAACUGAGACACGGUCCAGACUCCUACGGGAGGCAGCAGUGGGGAAUAUUGGACAAUGGGCGAAAGCCUGAUGCAGCCAUGCCGCGUGUGUGAAGAAGGUCUUCGGAUUGUAAAGCACUUUAAGUGGGGAGGCGUUACCCGCAGAAUAAGCACCGGCUAACUUCGUGCCAGCAGCCGCGGUAAUUC
rnacentral:rRNA from 1 species